rnacentral:rRNA from 1 species
AGCGAACGCUGGCGGCAGGCCUAACACAUGCAAGUCGAACGAACUCUUCGGAGUUAGUGGCGGACGGGUGAGUAACACGUGGGAACGUGCCUUUUGGUUCGGAAUAACUCAGGGAAACUUGUGCUAAUACCGAAUGUGCCCUUCGGGGGAAAGAUUUAUCGCCAUUAGAGCGGCCCGCGUCUGAUUAGCUGGUUGGUGAGGUAACGGCUCACCAAGGCGACGAUCAGUAGCUGGUCUGAGAGGAUGACCAGCCACACUGGGACUGCGACACGGCCCAGACUCCUACGGGAGGCAGCAGUGGGGAAUCUUGCGCAAUGGGCGAAAGCCUGACGCCGCCAUGCCGCGUGAAUGAUGAAGGUCUUAGGAUUGUAAAAUUCUUUCACCGGGGACGAUAAUGACGGUACCCGGAGAAGAAGCCCCGGCUAACUUCGUG